CGCUCCCUUCGUCUAGAGGCCUAGGACACCGCCCUCUCACGGCGGUAACACGGGUUCGAAUCCCGUAGGGAGCGCCAG
rnacentral:tRNA from 1 species